CUGGAGCUUUUAGGGUGAGAUAAUUUUUUAUUUUAUUUAAGUGGAUAAAUGAUUUAAUAUAUAAUAUUUUCUUUUUUUAAUUGAUAUUUAUUUUAUUCACUUUCAUAUUUUAUAUUAUUAUUUUUUAAUUGAGAACAAAUUUUUAUUAGUUUCUUUUUAUUUUUAUAAAGAUAAACUAUAUUCUUUUAUGUGAACGUAUCCUGAACUAGUUCACUUUCAUUUGCAUGUAGUCUUAAUCUAGUUCACUAUAUUUG
rnacentral:lncRNA from 1 species